AUUGAACGCUGGCGGCAGGCUUAACACAUGCAAGUCGAGCGGGGUGAUGGUGCUUGCACUAUCACUUAGCGGCGGACGGGUGAGUAAUGCUUAGGAAUCUGCCUAUUAGUGGGGGACAACAUCUCGAAAGGGAUGCUAAUACCGCAUACGUCCUACGGGAGAAAGCAGGGGAUCACUUGUGACCUUGCGCUAAUAGAUGAGCCUAAGUCGGAUUAGCUAGUUGGUGGGGUAAAGGCCUACCAAGGCGACGAUCUGUAGCGGGUCUGAGAGGAUGAUCCGCCACACUGGGACUGAGACACGGCCCAGACUCCUACGGGAGGCAGCAGUGGGGAAUAUUGGACAAUGGGGGGAACCCUGAUCCAGCCAUGCCGCGUGUGUGAAGAGGGCCUUAUGGUUGUAAAGCACUUUAAGCGAGGAGGAGGCUCUUUUGGUUAAUACCCAAGAUGAGUGGACGUUACUCGCAGAAUAAGCACCGGCUAACUCUGUGCCAGCAGCCGCGGUAAUAC
rnacentral:rRNA from 1 species